UCCCUGGUAGUAUAUCGGCUAGUACACGCGCCUGUCAUACGUGGUGAAUUUCGGGGAUUCCACCGUGCGCGAAAGCUGGGUUCGACUCCCAGCCAGGGAG